CGGGGGAGCAAGCGUUGUUCGGAUUUACUGGGCGUAAAGGGCGCGUAGGCGGCCACCGCAAGUCGACUGUGAAAUCUCCGGGCUUAACUCGGAAAGGUCAGCCGAUACUGCGGGGCUAGAGUGCAGAAGGGGCAACUGGAAUUCUCGGUGUAGCGGUGAAAUGCGUAGAUAUCGAGAGGAACACCUGCGGCGAAGGCGGGUUUGCUGGGCUGACGCUGACGCUGAUGCGCGAAAGCUAGGGGAGCGAACGGGAUUAGAUACCCCGGUAGUCCUAGCCUUAAACGAUGAAUGCCUUGGUGUCUGGGGUUUUAUAGUCCCCGGGUGCCGUCGCUUAACGCUUUAAGCAUUCCGCCUGGGGAGUACGGUCGCAAGACUG
rnacentral:rRNA from 1 species